rnacentral:misc_RNA from 1 species
AUUCCUCAACUAUUUACUGCGGUACCAGCUCUCAAUGAGGCUGCAUCUUUCUUAACUUGCUCAAACAACUUCAUUACUAGUUGUUUCUCUGAUUAUUCUUGUAAGCUUGUUUUACUUGAUUUGAUGCUUCUGUUGUUAACAUGAAAAGGUUAUACAAUAUAUAGUCAAUUCAAAGCACACCAUGGAUAUUUGCCUUCUAUCAAAAACUUAUUGUUUGUUUUUCAUCUGUUUUGGGAUUGCUGACCAAACUGCUUUGAACUGCUAAUUAUUUUUUCUUUUCUGUUAUACAAAACAGGGAUCAUUCCAGAAUUGCAUAAUGUUUGAAAGUCUCUAAAAUUAGUGUAGAGAAAAAUUGCCGUUACUGUUAAUGUUCGUUAUCCUCAUAAUUCAUAUUGUACAAGAAUGAUUGUUACAAGUUUUUUUCCUUACCUUUUGAUUACAUUGGGCUUUGAAAAAUUCAUUCAAUCUUUAUAUCCAUUCCUUUUCUUUGAAAUUUGAACUUAGUUGACGGUGUAAAAUUAGUAUUGUCACAUCUUGUUAUCAACGCUAAGGACAGCUUUUAAAAGGAUCAAAAACUUUCAUGUGGUGUAAUUAUGUACUAGAAGAAAUCCAAAGCGGCAUAUAUCGACUUUCCAAGACAGUAUUUACUUGCUUAAUCAUUAUUUUUUGCUCAUUAUUUUUGGUUAGUACUGAAUUUUGCAUCACUUGAUUAGAAUUAUUUGGAACUGUUGAAGUGGAAUAUUCUUCUAGAGAUCCUGGGAAUUCAAUUACACAUGCACAGGAAUUGGUGACAUUUUCUUCUGAACAAACUGAGGAGUAUGAAGAUGGUGAUUGCGCAUCUUCCAGUCGAAGCCGUUCAAUGUUUAUGGAAUCAUCUACAUCUACAUCUUCCACUGCUCCCCCUCCUGUCCAUGAUAGAAUAACAAGAGCCUCUUUGGAACGCCCAUCUCAAAAUACUAGUCAACUGUACCGUCAAAUCAUAGUGGUCAAAAUGGCAUUUCCAUUUUUCAAG